rnacentral:rRNA from 1 species
UACGAAGGGGGGCUAGCGUUGCUCGGAAUCACUGGGCGUAAAGCGCACGUAGGCGGCUUUCUAAGUCAGGGGUGAAAUCCUGGAGCUCAACUCCAGAACUGCCUUUGAUACUGGGGAGCUCGAGUCCGGAAGAGGUGAGUGGAACUCCGAGUGUAGAGGUGAAAUUCGUAGAUAUUCGCAAGAACACCAGUGGCGAAGGCGGCUUACUGGUCCGGGUUCUGACGCUGAGGCGCGAAAAGCGUGGGGAGCAAACAGG